UCUAAACAGUGCAAAAGAGCAAUGAGAUGGUUAAAGUGGCAGUUUAAAGUGACAACAGUGCGGAGAACAGUAAGUAGAUGAUGGUCGGUGAUGGCAGUCUUUGGUGAAGAUGAUAUUCUGAACAGGUGUGAAAGUUUUUAUUCUUUUCAUUGUUUUCUUUUUUUCCUUGGUAAGAUGACUUACUAACUAGCUAGUAUUGAUUAUCUUUCAGAUCUUCAGAUAGCCUUGGGCCAGUUGUUCAAAGGUAAGCUGAUCGGAUUUUGGUGAUCGGAUUGGAUCAAAUCUUGAAAAUGGGUUGUUCAAAAGGGAAAGAAGGAAUCUGAAAUCAGAUUAGAUCACAGAAUCCGAUCCUAGUUCUAAUCUGGAUCAAACCUUCAGUUUGUGUUGGUCAAAACUUGUCAGUAGGAUUUGGAUAACUUUGAUCCAAAAAAGCUGGAUUAUCCUGAUCACAACAGGGGGUAGGAUUUAAAGGUGGAUUCCAGAAGGGAAAUGUAGAAAACUUUAAAAUUGGUCAAAUAAUACAUUUGUUUCAUUUAGUGUUUAUACUUUUAUUUAUAUUUUGCACUUGACUUGUGUAACCGUUGUAACAGUGAUGAAGUAGAUACAGUAGACAUAGGCUACCAGUUAAGCUAUUCAGUAAAGUAAAAACAACCAAAGCAGAACUGCAGAUCCGCCUCCUAAAAGCAGAGCUUGGAAAUGCUGGUCUCUCCUCCUCAGAUAAAAAAACUCCCUGAACAUUCUUUGUUUUGUUAACUAUUGGAGAUUUAGCCAUUUUAUUUAAGACGUUUUCAAAAUAUCCACAAUGUAUUUGUAAAUGUAUAUUUGUUUUUUUAUUUUUUGUGACUCAGAUGAGGGGUCAUAAAAGAAAUUAUGAAUGGAAGUGGAUGUUUGUUAUUUUGUGUUUUGUCUCAGAAUAACAAACUCUUACAGUGACCCCAUGUUGGCUCUUCUACCUGUUCUUUACAUAGCUGGUAGCCCGUGUCGUGAUAUGUUGUCCCAUUUAGAGCACAGGUAAUCUGGAUUUGGUAAUCUUGAAAACUGUGUAUCUGGAUCAGGGUGAUCCAGUCCAAUGUUGCUUUGAAAAACUGGCAUAAAAGUAAGACGGAUUACCUGAUCCUGCAAAGGAAAAUAUGUGAUUUCCACAUCUGGAUCAUUUUGAUCCAGAUUAAACUUUUUGAACAACUGGCCCCUUAAUUUCGAAGGCCAUGAACACACAAAGGACCAGAGAGAGUUUGCCUUCACUGCACCUCUGUGGACAUAAAGUGAACAGGUCUUAGGGAUUCGCUGUCUUCCCCUGCCACAUCCACACACAUUGCAAAGGUGUGCAGUGGUCCACAUACUUAAAACACUUCAGCCUUUCAUUCUAUGAGGUAUCUGAUGUACAAAUUUUGAGCUUGUAUGUGCUAUCUUCAUUGUUGUGAAAGAUAGCCCAAUGAAUGGUUCGGUGUCUUGCCCAAGAACACUUCAACACAUGAGAAGAGCACGGCAAUGCGCCUCGGGUUCGUAUGGGGACCCGAACCUGCAAUCUUCUGAUCAGAGGUCGACUGGCUGGACCAUUUGGAGCUCAUCUUCAACACCGUCAGGGCAUCAGGAGGCUGGAGUAACAAUCCCACUGCAGGGCAGUUCCAGGGCCUUUUCUGCCGUUCGUUGUGGUGUCUCAUAAAGUGGGCCAGGAAACAUGGCAGCUCAUGCUGAGACUGUCUCCCUGUCAGCUGCAGAUAUGCACUUCGCUUUGAUGCCACGGGAAGAUCUAUGGAGACCAAAUAGAACCUCUAGAUUUGGUUGCUGGAGCCUAUCCUAGCCACUGUUGGGCGACAACCUGGAAGGUUUGCAAGUCCAUCGUAAGGCCAGCAGUGGUUCCAUCCAUCAAUAAAGAGCAACAUAUGAAAUACGGUGAUACGGCUUUAUAUUGUGUGAAGAUAGCUCGUAUUUUUGAAGUAACACUAAAAUCAUCUGCAUAAUGAAGACUGAAGUAGUGAACGUCCUCUUCUUCCUUUGAAUUAUUAGCUUUGAUCCAACCUGCAUGUGCAAGAGCAAAAAAAUAAAUAAAUCAACAAAACAGGCAUCUGGAUCAGACUUUAGGAAUAAAAAUAUUUACAGAUUUUUCUUUUUAAAUUAGUAGUAAAGAGAGUAAGACUCAGAUUUAUAUUAAAUAACCAACUUAAACAUUAAAUACAUUCAUAAUCCCCCAGCAUUUUGGAGUGACAUGCGCAUUUAAGUCUCUAAACCAUAAGUGUGUCGUUAAAAAGUAAUUUUCAUAACAAAACCAGACUGGAAUGUUUAUAAUGCUUUACAUUUACUCGUUCUGAAUAAAAUAUGCUUGCAGGAACAUUAUUGGUCCAGAAAAUACACGAUUUACACAGAAUCACACGGGAAAACAGGUCAAAGAUAAAACUUUCAAACUGCAAAUCACACAUGACAACCAUUUCCUUUAUUUUUUUUCCUUAGAGAAUUCACUAUCAAAACCAUAAGUCAACGUCGUCAUUCAAAAAAGCAGUUUUCACAGAUUACCCUACAGGUGGCAGCAUCAGGCUUUUUAAUGACUGAUCCUUUCCUAGAACUGGGAUUUUAUGUAAAGUUGCAGCAAAUCCCACUGGCAGUUCCUCCUUUCAACAGAGUGUCCAGCUUCACAAUUCUGAAACCGAGAAAAGCUCUCUUUUGUAAACUUUCACAAGCAUGCUGGAAAUUUUCCCCGGAUCAUUUAAUGUUUGUGGGCAUUGAGAUUUACAGAGCGUCUCUGAGGUUUUUCUGAAGAGGGAAUUUUUAAAUGUUUUAUUGCAGUCUUGGAAGCAAAAGUUGGGGUGGAUGUUCCAUGAUGGAAACCAGUUUGUUAGUGAUUCUCUCUGACUUUCAGUUUUGGUCUAUUGGAAGUUCACAAAUCAUUCACACCUUUCUUGAGACUGCUGACAUUUGUUUGAGCUCUUCUUGAAGAUAGAUUGGCAGAGCAUGUUCUACACAGUGCUGCAUGAAAAAGUAAGUUGCUAAGAACAUACUGUAUAAUAGUUGACCUGUUUACCCUGUAAAGUCUUCCAAAGAAAAUUGAUUAGGUCAUGUUUCUUUUAAUGUUUACUUGUACAAAUCCAAGAUGACAUCUUAUGCACAUGCAAUGCACAUUGAAUCAGUUGAUUUGUUUGGUAAAACUAUAACUAUGCCCCCUUUUUUUGUUAUUUUAGGACCACACAGUGUUCUUAUUGAGCAGCUGACAUCUACAGCCAAAUUAAAAUAAAUUUCAUUUUGGCGUACAGUGACCUUUUUCCCGUUUGUAUCAAGAGCUUCUUUGACAGCACGUUUUCAGGAGCAGCUUUCACAUGCAAAUGGAAUAUUCAACUCCAGACCUUUUACCUGCUUAAUUUAAGAAGAAAUAAUGAGGUAAGACCCUACACCUGUUCAUCAAACAACGACUCUGUUGGUUGUCCAAUUAGACCUUAGCAUCUGAAGAGGAGGCUUCUACAUAUCAAAGAUCUUUGAUUUUUCAAACAUUAACUUAAAGGUUACUAUCCAUUUCAAUUCCAAAUCCAUCAGAGUACUGUUAUAUAUUU